UCCGCUGCAAAUAAAAAUAAAAGUGCUCUUUUUAAAAGUGAAUAGAACUAAAGUAAAAGAUAAAAUUGUUGCUUCUCUAAUGCAUUUUCGAACCAAUCGGUUAUAAUUGCUUAGAGAGUAAAAGAGUACAAAAUUGUUUCUGAAUAGAAUAUUAUAAAGUUUCCGCUGCAAAGUAAAAAGUUUAUCCUCCAGUUAAAUUGGAACCAACGGGAAAAUUUAAUUGGAAGAACGGUUCUUAGCAAUGUUUUUCCCCUGUGGGUGAAAUAAGAUGCAGAUAGUUUACGCUAUGACAAAAGAAAGAUAUUUGUUUUAAAAGUUAAAAUGUGGUAUUGUUAUUUUCUGACCAACGUUGAUGAUAACAGUACGAUAAUUCUAUGAGUCUUAUGUUCAAAGCUUAAAUCUCUGAUAAUUUUUGUAUCAAAGUAAUCAAUUUUCAGAGAACAGUUAAAGAUGAAGAAAUGCUCUUGAACUAGAGAAAUGCAUAUUUCUUGUUUCCGUUGCAAUAAAGUUGAUGAUGAUGAUUAUUUCUUAGCAAAGUUGUUUAAUAGAAAUACUAUCAUCACAUUGUUUAUGAGUUAUAUGCAUUAUUUCCAUUUCCGCCCAACGGUGGUAUGGAAUUAAUGUAGAAGAAUUAGUUUUAUUCUAAUUCUACCACAACGGUGAUUUAGAGUAUGAAAAGAAAGUUUUAAAAAGUUUAAUGUGCAUAUUUUUUAACCAGACCAACGUAGGGUUAUUUUUUAUGCUCAUUAUUGUUGAUUAUUGGCUAAGUUUUCUCAGACUAAAAGUUCUUCAUGCUUUCAUUCGUGAAAGCGAAUGGCUGGGUACUUGUUACCCGAAAGAUGACCAAGAAAGGUCAGAACAUGAGGGAGUAUGUUCUCUUUAAAGAAUGGCUUUAAAAGAAAAGAAUUCUUGGAUAUUAAUCCAAGAAAAGAAAACAAAUAGAUCAUUGAGAGUCUUGGUUGACGAAUGUCUUUCAUGUAUUCUAUAUGAAGAAGAUUUUCCAGUCAACAUGAUUUGAAAUGAAACAAGCAACAUGCGUGUUUAAUUUGACCAACGUCGGAUCAAGCAUGUGUGUCAAAGAGCGUUCGGAUUUAUUUCUGAAUUUCAUGAUUGCAUAUGCAGUCAAAAGAGCCAAUUCUGGCAUUUAUGUUCCUUACAGGGAAUUACCCGCAUAGCGGGAAAAGAGGAUUAUGAUAAAACCCGCAUGGCGGGAAAAGUCAGGGAAAAUACUUGCGUAACUGGGUAAAGUUGACAUAGUAUUAUGUCAAAAAAAUCAUGUAUGGCAGGAGAAAUGUAGGCAAAGGACUUAUCCUGUAUGACAGGAGAAAGAUAUGAUGACUCAUGUGCGUUUAAUGUGUCCCACUCUGGGAGAAAAGUAUGGAGUAGCUAUUAUGCUUUCCUAGUAUCGACCGUACACCUUAUGUGUAACGGUCAUUAAGAACUCAAUAAAUCCAAAGAGAAUAAAAGUUACAGACGAACCUAAAGAUAAGAAUGAUAUGCAAGUGUGACUUACAAAAGUACUAAUGAUAAAGAACUAUUUUGAGUUUCCGAAAUGGAAUGAGGAAUAAGGAAAAAGUACUCCCAUACCGUUAACAGAUAACUUCAUUACAUAUGAAGUAAUCAGAUACAUGAAGUAGAUACCCAAAGUUUCCUCAAUUCAUAAGAGUUGUGAAUGGUUUUUCGAAAUUGUGGCAGAAAAGUUCUUGCCACAUUUCGAGGGGGAGAAAGAAAUAUGAGAUAUCCAUUAAUGAAGAAUGUGAUCAUCUGGGGGAGUACGACGAUCAUAAUAAUACCCCUAAAGAAAAGAAAUAGCUGUAUUCCUGGAUCUUUUACAGUUCCAAAAGCAGACUAAGGAAUACUAAGACGGUGCUUAAAGUGCCAUAAAGAAGAAAGUUUUAACAGAAUAAACCCAAAUAAUAAAGUUUAAAGAUACGCCAUUUUUAGUGAAGAUGGAGUAAUCUGGGGGAGCAUGUUGUAUGACCUAUACAACACCUGAUGUUAGAUCUAUAAAGGAUGAAUGAGUACACAUGGAUCUUGUGACACAGGUCCCUGUAAAACCUAUUGCCUCUUGGAAAUAAAAGACUAUAGAAUUAAUUUGCCUCUUGGCAAUCACAGAGCAACAACAACCCCAUAUGAAAGAAGUGCCAGUACCUGAGACACAGAUGGUCUCAAGGAAUGAGAAAAUCAGAUACUUCUGAUUACUAUAAAGUCUAUGUUAGUGAAAAUCAAAUCGAGGUUGAUCCCACCUCAUUUAAAGCGCUCAAUCGAGCUUAGAGAAGUGUCUAUUUGUCCAAAUGAUAAGAGACUAUGUGAGAUGAAAUAAAAUUGGUGAAUCCUGACAAUGUUUGGGACUCAUAAGUAGUUUUCAAUGGAGCAUAAACAGUAGGCUGUAAAAGGUCUACAAGGUCAAUGUGACUCCAAAGAAAAUAUGUAAAGGUGUAAAGCGCGACUUGAAUCGAAAGAUUUUGUGCAAAGAGAAUGAACAAAUUACAAUGAGUGUUAGUGGCACAUCAUGACCGACAUCAUGAUCUGAGUUACAUCAGAUGAAUGUAUAGAACACAAGGGAUACUGCUUCAAGAAGUUUUUUAUGGACUAGAGCAAGUCUCUAGACAGUUGCAUUUAAAGUUUAAAGAAUCAGAUGAUAUUUUGGGUUAAAGAAAAUGGAAGGACAAUUGUAUUCAUGCAAAGUUAUAGAAUGGAAAAUUCAUUUCCCAAUCCUGUGCAUGUAGAUGACGUCCUACUUGCUAGUGGUGAUGUCAAUCUACUUCAGGAGGAGAAAAGAAGUUCUUGUCCUCAAAGUUCAAAAUUGCAUUUCUCAGAGUGUCUCUCGUUAUAAAUAUCGAGAUUCACCAAGAAAAGAAUAAAAUGGGGUAUUAGGAAUGUCGCAUGGACAUGCUAACAAAGGUCUCUAAAGUAGGCAUGCGAGAAAACCUACGCCUGUUCUUAUAGUCAAGGGUAAUUGAACUGGAAACUAUGGUGUUCCAAAAGUUGAUGAGAAAAGAUUGAAAACGGAUAUGGUACCAUAUGCUUCAGCUGUUGGAAGCUCAAUAUAUUACCCUGACACAGUUCACGUAUCCGGGUUGUUUUGGCAAUGUCCAGUCCAUAUAUAGAUCACUGGAAUGGAGUCAAAGAUAUCGGCAUCAUGCUGAAAGAAAUAAGUGCUCUCAAAAGAUUGUGAGUACAAAGACAGGACUUGUGAAAUGUAUAGCGAAAUCCACAAUUGUCGCUAACUUUCAUACUUGGAGGUUUUUGUGUGGAAAAGCUCCAAAGAAUGAAAUUAUCAUCAGUGUGAUGCAAAGAUAUUUUAUAGCUUAAUAUGAGGCUGAGGGACAGGCAAAAUGGUUAAGGAGACCUGUACCCGGAGUUAAUAAUGGUUGACAACAGCGAUAACCAUUUUAAGUUUUUCGCUCCUAUGACAACGAGUCAAGUGUUGAUGCCAAACACACUGACACAGAGUUAUGCGUUGUAAAGGAGAAAGUCCGGAAUUAUGUAGAAAUGCUUGAAGCAUAAAAGCAACAGACAAGUGUUUGCAGAUCUGCUUAUUAAAGGCUUACCGCCCAGUGUGUUCGAAGAACACACAGUCGACAUGGGUUUUAUGGUAUAGUCUAAGAUUUCCGGACAAUAAAAGGGCCCAAGGUUAAAGAAUUUGUUUCAAAACAGAGUGGUACGUUGUGGCUGUCUGAUUCUAUCGGCAAUUGAGCUGUGACGAUGAAACAUAUUCUAUGUAUUGAUCUGUUAUGAAACGAGUAAAGUAAAAGUAUAAGGUCAAAAAGUUGAGAUCAAGGAGGAGAAUGUUAGGAUGAUCUCCACCGUGUGGGCCCAACGGCCCACCGGGCCCUUAGAUCUGCGCCCUGAUCGGGGGCGCUCAACCCACUAUGGUUGACGGGCCCCUGUCACCUGCACUAUAUAAAGAGGUGGGGGCUGGCGGCUCGCAUCACGAGGUUCGUCGCGAUGCCGUACACCCCACCUACAUCCCUACCGAUCUAGGGUUAGUGCAGUGCUGAUGGGAAGCGCCGCCACCACUUCGCCCAUGAUCUGCCAUCACCACCGCCGCCAUCCACCAUGGCCACCCCAUCGAGUUCAUCCGGCCAGGUAGAAGGUAAGAACUACCGGAAUAUCUAGCCUAUCCGAUCCCGACGGAUCUAACAGGGUAUGCUAGAGUCCGGUUCGCCUGUCGCCUCCGAGAGUCUUGGUCCAUCCUGUAGGUGGUAUAAGGAUGGAGAGGGGUCUGCUCUAGGGAUGGGAAGGUGUGUUGUGGCGCUACAGCUUGUGCUCUGCAUCUUAGGGGAUGCAUAGAGGUUGACGCUGGGUGCAGGGAGCGUGUUGUGCUAUGCCCUGUGGUUCAGACAAGUUAUCUCUCUCUCUCUCUCUCUCUCUCUCUCUCUGUGUGUGUGUGUGUUAAAUUCCUCCCUUGCUAAUAUCUCUUCCUGUACACAGAUGGAAACCAAAAUAUCAAGGCUGUAAUAUGUACAAGCAUGAGAACUCUCUCUGUCAUAGUAUUAGUGUGGAUUUAUACCUUUUACAAUGAGACAUUAAUGCAUUCUGCAAUGUUCCCUUCUGUAAAUAAAUGAACUAUGCAUUCUGUAACAUUCCCUUCUAUUAAAUAAAUGAACUAUACAUUCUGUUAAAUCAUGAAUUGUAACCAUGACCACCUCUCAUGAGAAUCUCAAAGGAUUUUUCUCGAAUACUUAUCAGAAGGAUGAUCACCGUUGCCUUAUGUUUGCUUCAUUUUGGCUCCCUAUGACUACUAACCGUGGUCACGUUAUUCCUACAUAAUAUGAUAUUGGCGAUGGCAACUGUUGUCUUGCUUAUGAAGCUUAAGUUUUAUCAGGUUUGGGUAAGGAUCUGGAGGUGGAGAGCAGUAUCGACGACAAUGAUAUAGUUUCAACAAGCUAUCGGGCGUUGGCACAAGAUGGACGUGCCUCACGCAAUUCAGACGGCUCUUACAAUCCCAAGUUUUUUCUUGAUAUCCUCUUACGACCCCAAGUUAGAUGUUGCCAUAUCUAUUUUUACAUCUUUUUGUCACAGGCGAACUGUCGUUGAGGGGGGGGGGGGAAAACAAGGAUGGUGUCAUUCACGUACGAACAGAUGCUAGGGAAGUGGCCGGUCGGGGACAUCACCUUCGGGGUCAGCCACUACAUGCGCCUCUGGAUGAUCACUAGACCCAAAAUAUUUUGAUCUACUGGAAUGGUCGCAUUGCCAUUUGUGCUUGCCCAUCAUAAAGUUUCUCCACUCGUGCAAGAGAAUAACUUGGAUCACUAAGGAUAAGAUGCUCUGUGGUAAACUUCUCCUAUGUUCUGCACCAAGGAGAUGAUUUUUCUUGCGACAUCAACUGCGUUUGUACCGACAACUGAAAGCUCGUUGCUUGGCCGAUCUUACAAUUGAGCAUACCUCAGCUUGCAUCUGAACAAACUUAUUUGCCACCUCAGCUUGAGAAUCUUUUGGAUACCAAGGAGAAAGUCGAAGCUGGGAGAAAAGGAGCCCUCCAUUUAAUAAGAUCAUACCUCUGUAGCUUGCAUGUGAACAAAUUUAUUUGUCACCUCAAUUUGUGAAUCUUUUGGAUACCACAAGGAGAAAGUGGAAGCUAGGAGAAAAGGAGCCCUCUACUGCAUAUAAUACUUCUAAUGAUAUAUGUAUUUAAGAAUUUACUUAUUGUGAUGAACUGACGAUACACAACCAAUGUAACCUAGAAGUGAUGACAUAUUUCUGUAAGGGCAAUGAUCUGCGCCGGCGCGCCGGCCCAACUGUUGGGCCGGUCGAGCCCCAGCCGUACGAUGCAGCGUGCGAUGCAAUCCCUUCA